CCUACGGGUGGCAGCAGUGAGGAAUAUUGGUCAAUGGACGCGAGUCUGAACCAGCCAAGUAGCGUGAAGGAUGACUGCCCUAUGGGUUGUAAACUUCUUUUAUAUGGGAAUAAAAUGGUCCACGUGUGGGAUUUUGUAUGUACUAUAUGAAUAAGGAUCGGCUAACUCCGUGCCAGCAGCCGCGGUAAUACGGAGGAUCCGAGCGUUAUCCGGAUUUAUUGGGUUUAAAGGGGGCGUAGGUGGAUUGUUAAGUCAGUUGUGAAAGUUUGAGGCUCAACCGUAAAAUUGCAGUUGAUACUGGCAGUCUAGAGUACAGGUGAGGUAGGCGGAAUUCGUGGUGUAGCGGUGAAAUGCUUAGAUAUCAUGAAGAACUCCGAUUGCGAAGGCAGCUUACUAAACUGCAACUGACAUUGAGGCUCGAAAGUGUGGGUAUCAAACAGGAUUAGAUACCCCUGUAGUC
rnacentral:rRNA from 1 species